rnacentral:rRNA from 1 species
UACGGAGGGAGCUAGCGUUGUUCGGAAUUACUGGGCGUAAAGCGCGCGUAGGCGGCUUUGUAAGUUAGAGGUGAAAGCCCGGGCUCAACCCCGGAACUGCCUUUAAAACUGCAUCGCUUGAAUCCGGGAGAGGUGAGUGGAAUUCCGAGUGUAGAGGUGAAAUUCGUAGAUAUUCGGAAGAACACCAGUGGCGAAGGCAGGCUCACUGGACCGGGCGAUUGACG